rnacentral:rRNA from 1 species
GAUGAACGCUGGCGGCGUGCCUAAUACAUGCAAGUCGAGCGAACGGACGAGAAGCUUGCUUCUCUGAUGUUAGCGGCGGACGGGUGAGUAACACGUGGAUAACCUACCUAUAAGACUGGGAUAACUUCGGGAAACCGGAGCUAAUACCGGAUAAUAUUUUGAACCGCAUGGUUCAAAAGUGAAAGACGGUCUUGCGGUCACUUAUAGAUGGAUCCGCGCUGCAUUAGCUAGUUGGUAAGGUAACGGCUUACCAAGGCAACGAUGCAUAGCCGACCUGAGAGGGUGAUCGGCCACACUGGAACUGAGACACGCUCCAGACUCCUACGGGAGGCCGCAGUAGGGAAUCUUCCGCAAUGGGCGAAAGCCUGACGGAGCAACGCCGCGUGAGUGAUGAAGGUCUUCGGUUCGUAAAACUCUGUUAUUAGGGAAGAACAUAUGUGUCAGUAACUGAGCACAUCUUGACGGUACCUAAUCAGAAAGCCACGGCUAACUACGUG